GAGGAGGAGGGGGAGGAGGGAGGCCGCCCGCCGCCCCCGCCCUCCCUGCGCGCUCCUCGGCGGCGGCCCCAUGUCCCCGGGCCCGAAGCCCCGCGGCGGGCGGCCCCCCCCGCGCGUAGCCGAGGUGGGGCGCCUCGUGUCCCCGCCCCGCGCCGCCGCGCUCCCCCGCGCCCGCCGAGGACAUGGUACGUUCCAGUGGCCCCGCGCUCAGCCCCGCCGGGGGGGCUUCGGCGGCGGCGGGGAGGACGCGGCGGCGGCGGCGGUGGCGGACGAGGGUCCGGGGCUGGGGCUGGCGAGCCGGGGCCGAGGGCGCAGCAGCGAGCCGAGAGCCACCCCCCCGCCGCCCCGGGCCACGGCCACGGCCGGCAGCAGCAGCGGCGGCGGCGGCCUCGCCCCUCGCUGGCACCCGGCGGGCCCCCCGCGGGCUGGCAUGACUCUGUUCGGCAGCGAAGAAGCGUGUCGGAGAUAUUUAGACAUGGCCAGAGACCCCAAAGGGAGCCGGGCCCGGCCUGGCCAGAAGCGACAGCACAGCGCUACCCUCUACCACAGUAACUGUGACCUGAACUAUGAGCUGUAUCGGGAAGACUUCCCCUACAGGGUAUAUGAGUAUCAGAGGAUCCCCCCACUUAUCAACCGAGCACCUGUCAAGAGCAGACGGACCCACAUGGGUGCAGGAGGCAAGAGCGGCCUCAGUCCCCACAUCCCUCCACGAAGCAACAACCCACCCCCCAUCCGGACAAAGUUAAGAGCUGAGGAGCUGCACUCGAUCAAGGGGGAGCUGAGCCAGAUCAAGGUCCAGGUGGACAGUCUGCUCGAGAGCCUGGAGCGUAUGGACCAGCGGCGAGACAGACUGGGAGGGCCCCAAGAAGGUGAGAAGAAGGCAACCUCAGCCAGUGGGGAGUCCUCCGGUGCAGCGGCUGAGGCCCAGCGAGAGCCCCGGGGCAAAGAGAGCCCGGAGCCCCGAGCCCGCAGCCGCAGGGAUGCCGACAGUGCGGAGGAGAGCACAGACACGGAGGAGGCGGGGAGGAUGAAAAAUCACACCUCGGACCCUGAUGGGAGUCAGUAGAAGCUCUGGGGCCCCUGCUGUGGCCUCCCCAGCUCGGAUCCUUUCCUUUUCCUGUGUUUGUAUUUCUUUGAGGCCCCCCAGCCAGUGCCACGUGUCUCCUGCCCUCCAGUCUCCCUACUGUUACAGUAGAGCCUCGUCUGCUCCUGCCCACGGGAGCCUGCGGGGUGUCCUGUGUCCUCUACAGAAGCCAGGCAGAAGUCCCUGAGGUGCAGGCCUGCAGUAUGGGUCUGGGGAGGCAGGAAAAUCCAGCACGUCUAGAAUUUCCUUUUGAAUACCAACCCUCCUUUCCUCUGUGUUGUUCCCCCCCAUCCCAUGAAAAAGGGGUUCCCUUGGUAGUAAGACUUGGCAGGACAGGGGCAUUUGGGGAAGAGUCUGGGCAGACCCCACAAUUCCAAAUUCUUCCUUCUCUUCCCUCACGAAGAUGCUUAGUGAUGAUUUUCAGUUCCCCACCCCUCUUGGGUACCCUCAUCAUCUCUCCUUGGGGUAGAACUGGUGCCAUCCUGCCCCUUGAUCUCUCUGACAUAGCUUGUAACAGUAUCGGCCCCAGCAGAACGUGGUUCAUCUAAGACACCACCCAGGUUCUGGUCCCCACCUGAGCCCCCAGUGUUCCUUCUGGGGCUCCCUCAGCCGGCCUUCCUCCCAGCAGCGUGAGGAGAGGGGAUUGGUGUCCCUGAGAAGGCCAGCCAAGCCAAAUGUUGGACAGCUCCCGUGGCUCACCAAGGUUUCCCCUUUUCCCGGGAUCACGUGGCUUCAAUGGUUUGCACUACUAGCCUUCGUGUGGCCCCUUUCUCUCCUCCCGGUCCCCACAGAAUUCCGUACCCGCAGUGGUGCAUGGGAAAUGAGUUCUGUUUCUGACAGGUGCAUUUCUGCUCCGCAGAAGAUACAGCCAGGUCCUUGGUUGACGUUGCCCUGAUUCACCCUGUUAUUUCCCUGCCUUCCCUCCCUUUCCCUCCAUGCUGUCCUUUCAGAACAGGUGUAGUUCAUUCUCACGUCCAGUUUC
ensembl:lncRNA